AUUGAACGCUGGCGGCAUGCUUUACACAUGCAAGUCGAACGGUAACAGGUUAAGCUGACGAGUGGCGAACGGGUGAGUAAUGCAUCGGAACGUGCCUGAUCGUGGGGGAUAACGCAGCGAAAGCUGCGCUAAUACCGCAUACGAUCUGAGGAUGAAAGCGGGGGACCGUAAGGCCUCGCGCGAUCGGAGCGGCCGAUGUCAGAUUAGGUAGUUGGUGGGGUAAAUGCUCACCAAGCCGACGAUCUGUAGCUGGUCUGAGAGGACGACCAGCCACACUGGGACUGAGACACGGCCCAGACUCCUACGGGAGGCAGCAGUGGGGAAUUUUGGACAAUGGGCGCAAGCCUGAUCCAGCAAUGCCGCGUGCAGGAAGAAGGCCUUCGGGUUGUAAACUGCUUUUGUACGGAGCGAAAAGGCUCUCUCUAAUACAGGGGGCUCAUGACGGUACCGUAAGAAUAAGCACCGGCUAACUACGAGCCAGCAGCCGCCGCCGUAA
rnacentral:rRNA from 1 species